UUAUAAGUUUGGUUUCUGGCUCAGGACGAACGCUGGCGGCGUGCCUAAUACAUGCAAGUUGAGCGCUGAAGGUUGGUACUUGUACCAACUGGAUGAGCAGCGAACGGGUGAGUAACGCGUGGGGAAUCUGCCUUUGAGCGGGGGACAACAUUUGGAAACGAAUGCUAAUACCGCAUAAAAACUUUAAACACAAGUUUUAAGUUUGAAAGAUGCAAUUGCAUCACUCAAAGAUGAUCCCGCGUUGUAUUAGCUAGUUGGUGAGGUAAAGGCUCACCAAGGCGAUGAUACAUAGCCGACCUGAGAGGGUGAUCGGCCACAUUGGGACUGAGACACGGCCCAAACUCCUACGGGAGGCAGCAGUAGGGAAUCUUCGGCAAUGGACGAAAGUCUGACCGAGCAACGCCGCGUGAGUGAAGAAGGUUUUCGGAUCGUAAAACUCUGUUGGUAGAGAAGAACGUUGGUGAGAGUGGAAAGCUCAUCAAGUGACGGUAACUACCCAGAAAGGGACGGCUAACUACGUGCCAGCAGCCGCGGUAAUACGUAGGUCCCGAGCGUUGUCCGGAUUUAUUGGGCGUAAAGCGAGCGCAGGUGGUUUAUUAAGUCUGGUGUAAAAGGCAGUGGCUCAACCAUUGUAUGCAUUGGAAACUGGUAGACUUGAGUGCAGAGAGAGAGAUUAGUC
rnacentral:rRNA from 1 species